rnacentral:rRNA from 1 species
UACCAGCACCCCGAGUGGUCGGGACGAUUAUUGGGCCUAAAGCAUCCGUAGCCGGUUUUACAAGUCUCCGUUAAAUCCAGCUGCUUAACAGAUGGGCUGCGGAGGAUACUAUAAGACUAGGAGGCAGGAGAGGCAAGCGGUACUCAGUGGGUAGGGGUAAAAUCCGUUGAUCCAUUGAAGACCACCAGUGGCGAAGGCGGCUUGCCAGAAUGCGCUCGACGGUGAGGGAUGAAAGCUGGGGGAGCAAACCGG